rnacentral:rRNA from 1 species
GAUGAACGCUGGCGGCGUGCCUAACACAUGCAAGUCGAACGGGGAAGUAGCAAUACUUCCUAGUGGCGAACGGGUGAGUAACACGUAGGUAACCCGUCUUUUAGUUGGGGAUACCCCGGAGAAAUUCGGGCUAAUACCGUAAUAUGAUCAUUGGAGGCAUCUCUGAUGGUUGAAAGGGGCUUCGGCCUCGCUAAUAGAUGGACCUGCGGCGCAUUAGCUAGUUGGAGAGAUAAAAGCCCACCAAGGCGAGGAUGCGUAGCCGACCUGAGAGGGUGAUCGGCCACAAUGGGACUGAGACACGGCCCAUACUCCUACGGGAGGCAGCAGUGGGGAGUUUUCGGCAAUGGGGGAAACCCUGACCGAGCAACGCCGCGUGAACGAUGAAGGUCUUCGGAUCGUAAAGUUCUUUUAUGAAGGAUAAAUGGCCAGUAUAGGAAAUGAUACUGGUUUGAUAGUACUUCAGGAAUAAGCCACGGCUAACUAC